UACGUAGGCAGCAAGCGUUGUUCGGAGUUACUGGGCGUAAAGGGUGUGUAGGCGGUUCUUUAAGUUUGGUGUGAAAUCUCCGGCUUAACCGGGAGGGUGCGCCGAAAACUGGGAGACUAGAGUGCGGGAUGGGAGAGUAGAAUUCCUGGUGUAGCGGUGAAAUGCGUAGAUAUCAGGAGGAAUACCGGUGGUGCAGACGGCUCUCUGGACCGCAACUGACGCUGAGACACGAAAGCGUGGGUAGCAAACAGG
rnacentral:rRNA from 1 species